rnacentral:rRNA from 1 species
AGUGAACGCUGGCGGUAGGCCUAACACAUGCAAGUCGAACGGCAGCACAGUAAGAGCUUGCUCUUACGGGUGGCGAGUGGCGGACGGUUGCGGAAUACAUCGAAAUCUACUUUUUCGUGGGGGCUAACGUAGGGAAAUUUCCGCUAAUACCGCAUACGACCUCCGUGUGAAAGCAGGGGUUCUUCUAGCUUUUCGCUAUUGUAUGAGCCGAUGUCGGCUUAGCUCGUUGGCUGGUGAAAGGCCCACCACGGCGACGAUCCGUAGCUGGUCUGAGCGGAUGAAUAGCCACCAUGGAACUGAGAAACGGCCCACACUCCUACGGUGAGCAGCAGUGGGGAAUAUUGGACAAAGGGCGAAAGCCUGAUCCAGCAAUACCGGGUGGGUGAAGAAGGCGUUCGGGUUGGAAAGCCAUUUUGUUGGGAAAGAAAAGCAGCAGGUUAAUACCCCGCGGUUAUGACGGUACCCAAAGAAUAAGCACCGGCUAACUUCGUG